AGAGUUUGAUCAUGGCUCAGAACGAACGCUGGCGGCAGGCCUAACACAUGCAAGUCGAGCGCCCCCUUUCAGAUUUCAGAUGGCAGACACCAGAUGUCAGAUGGCUCUGUGCGUGAUCCACGCGCGGUGGUCUAUCUGAUGUCUGACAUCUGUCUUCUGACAUCUGAUGGGGGAGCGGCGGACGGGUGAGUAACGCGUGGGAAUUUUCCUCAAGGUAGGGAACAACUCAGGGAAACUUGGGCUAAUACCCUAUGAUGUCUAGCGACCAAAGAUUUAUCGCCUUGGGAUAAGCCCGCGUCAGAUUAGGUAGUUGGUGGGGUAACGGCCUACCAAGCCUGCGAUCUGUAGCUGGUCUGAGAGGACGAUCAGCCACACUGGGACUGAGACACGGCCCAGACUCCUACGGGAGGCAGCAGUGGGGAAUCUUGCGCAAUGGGCGAAAGCCUGACGCAGCCAUGCCGCGUGAAUGAUGAAGGUCUUAGGAUUGUAAAGUUCUUUCGCCCGUGACGAUGAUGACGGUAACGGGAGAAGAAGCCCCGGCUAACUUCGUGCCAGCAGCCGCGGUAAUACGAAGGGGGCUAGCGUUGUUCGGAAUUACUGGGCGUAAAGCGCGCGUAGGCGGUUUUGCAAGCCAGAGGUGAAAUGCCUGAGCUCAACUUAGGAAUUGCCUUUGGGACUGCGAGACUUUGAGGACGGUAGAGGUGAGUGGAAUUCCCAGUGUAGAGGUGAAAUUCGUAGAUAUUGGGAAGAACACCGGUGGCGAAGGCGGCUCACUGGCCCGUUUCUGACGCUGUAGCGCG
rnacentral:rRNA from 1 species